ensembl:lncRNA
GUUUUGUUCUGACUUUAAAUAAAAACCACUUAUUGUGAAUGUUUAUUUUGAUCAGGCAGUGAGUUUGUCCUCAUCUCAUGGGAUACAUUGGAACAUGGAUCACAUGCCUGAGAACGAAAGGAAAGGACACACAGCAGCCUGGGAAAGGAAACAGACGUCCAGAGGCUCAGUGGCUGUCAUUGCGAAAGAAUAUUCCCACUCUUAUUAACGUCAAGAGUUUCUGUGACUGCGUGCGUCUUUCUCACAGCACAGGCUCUCUAGACACUUCAACUGAUCUUCCAGCGUAAGCAGGUAAUGCAAUCUGAGGGGCUGCUCCAAAGGCAAGAGGCUACGUCGACCUGACGCUGUGUCUGGAGGAUCUGGCUAACUCCACAUGCUGUACAGACGCUUCCUACAGACACUGCAUGCUGCUGGACAUCCAUAAGGUUUAUUUCUCCAUGUGCUCAUAUAUGCAGGACCCAGGUAUUCCCAUCCUGCUGCUGCUCAUCAUGCCCUGUGUCAUCAUCCCAUUCAUUAUACCAUUCCUCUGGCAGUACUUCAAACUGCACGAGUACAGACUGCCAAAGAACUAAUGAUUGAACAGUGUGUUGCAUUUCAGAAUGGACAAUGUGCAUGAAUCAAAGUACUCUUUAUUCUUUUUUUUUGAUAGGCCUCACAGUAUAUUUGAAGUGAUUUUAAUUUUUAAAGUAUCCUAAAGACCAUAUUGUUAGAUUACAUUUAUGCAUUUGGGAGACACUUUAUCCCGAGAAACUUAUAUUGCUUUCAAGGUACAACAUUGUGUAAGUGUUUACUUAUUCAGCAAAUCUUAUUUGUGUAUGUAUCUUAUUUUGUGUACAUCUUAAUCAUUCUAAUAUUCUGAUUUGGUGCUCAAGAAACAUUUCUUAUGUAUGUUGAAAACUGUUGUGCUGCUUAAUAUUUUUGUGAAAAAACUAAAUUUUAAGUCCCCCCAAGAUUAUUUGAUGAAUAGAAAGUCCAAAUUAAUAUCUUAUUUCAUUUAUUAUACCGUACACUGUCCUUAGUGUAACUUUUGAUCAAUUUACUGUGUCCUUGCUGAAUAAAAAAUUAAAACUUAAUAUUUAAAUUAAAUAUCAAAACAACUUACUGAACCCAAACGUUUAAGCAACAUUAUAU